rnacentral:SRP_RNA from 1 species
GCUGAGUUGGGUAGCGCCAACUUGUGACCCAAGUGGGAGCACCAAAGUGAUGGAACGUGGCUACGGCUUGUUUGGCUGGUCUGUUAGCUGCAAUAUGUUGGCCUGCCCGCUCCCAAGUUGAGAGUUGUGCCUCGGGACAUGGGUGAAGGUCUAUGUCUCUUGGUCCCUAGAAGAGAUGGGAUUGCGUGANGGGUACCAAGGAAAGAGUUGGGUGGUCAAUAUAACCAAGUAAGAGUCGUAAGAGAUGCAAAAUGCUUUG